rnacentral:rRNA from 1 species
GACGAACGCUGGCGGCGUGCUUAACACAUGCAAGUCGAACGGUAAGGCCCUUCGGGGUACACGAGUGGCGAACGGGUGAGUAACACGUGGGUGAUCUGCCCUGCACUUCGGGAUAAGCCUGGGAAACUGGGUCUAAUACCGGAUAGGACCACUGCCUGCAUGGGUGGUGGUGGAAAGCUUUUGCGGUGUGGGAUGGGCCCGCGGCCUAUCAGCUUGUUGGUGGGGUGAUGGCCUACCAAGGCGACGCCGGGUAGCCGGCCUGAGAGGGUGACCGGCCAAACUGGGACUGAGAUACGGCCCAGACUCCUACGGGAGGCAGCAGUGGGGAAUAUUGCACAAUGGGCGCAAGCCUGAUGCAGCGACGCCGCGUGAGGGAUGACGGCCUUCGGGUUGUAAACCUCUUUCAGCACCGACGAAGCGCAAGUGACGGUAGGUGCAGAAGAAGGACCGGCCAACUACGAGCCAGCCGCCGCCGUAA